rnacentral:rRNA from 1 species
GACGACUCUCGGCAACGGAUAUCUCGGCUCUCGCAUCGAUNAAGAACGUAGCGAAAUGCGAUACUUGGUGUGAAUUGCAGAAUCCCGUGAACCAUCGAGUCUUUGAACGCAAGUUGCGCCCGAGGCCACUCGGCCGAGGGCACGCCUGCCUGGGCGUCACGCC